rnacentral:rRNA from 1 species
GACGAACGCUGGCGGCGUGCCUAAUACAUGCAAGUCGAGCGGACUUUCAAGAAGCUUGCUUUUUGAGAGUUAGCGGCGGACGGGUGAGUAACACGUGGGCAACCCGCCUGUAAGACGGGGAUAACUCCGGGAAACCGAGGCUAAUACCGGAUAAUAUCUUUCUUCGCAUGAAGGAAGGUUGAAAGGCGGCGCAAGCUGCCGCUUGCAGAUGGGCCCGCGGCGCAUUAGCUAUUUGGUGAGGUAACGGCUCACCAAGGCGACGAUGCGUAGCCGACCUGGGAGGGUGAUCGGCCACACUGGGACUGAGACACGGCCCAGACUCCUACGGGAGGCAGCAGUAGGGAAUCUUCCGCAAUGGACGAAAGUCUGACGGAGCAACGCCGCGUGAGCGAAGAAGGUCUUCGGAUCGUAAAGCUCUGUUGUCAGGGAAGAACAAGUACCGUUCGAAUAGGGCGGUACCUUGACGGUACCUGACCAGAAAGCCACGGCUAACUACGUGCCAGCCGCCGCCGUAA